UUCUGAGUCUUUUUUUAUUUCAUAGGCACAAAUCAUUCUCUCUCAUUCUUGUCUUAUUCUCCCUCCUCGGGUUUUCUCUCUCAAUGCAAACCCCCACUCUUUUCUCUCUCUUUGUCCCUCCAUCAGCAACUGCGGAGCACGCCGGACAACAGCUCUCUCUCGAACUCUCGUACUUCAUCCUCUUGCAGUCGUCGUGUAGUCAUCGUUAGGGAGACCCAUUAAGCUGCCAACCACCAUCUAAAGUAGAUUCAACCUUCAAUUCCACUAUGGACCACCACAGACAACGUCACCCACAUAGCAAGUUCUACCAUGAGAUCUAGCCCCCGACGCCCUUCUCUCUCCCUCUCUAUUUCUUCGUUUAUCCCAUCUUUCAACAGCCACCCAUCGAUGCAUGCGAUGCAGAUAAAUGUACUAGUUUCGUUGUUCAAGGCAAGGCCUUGGUGUCAUCGCUAUCUUUGGGGUUGUUGGUGAAUUUAGGUGGAGCUGCCAUGGGUGCUAAUAAAUCAAAGGCGGCUAGCACUACACUACAUUUGUAGAAGCGUCCUACAAAGUUGACCAAAUCUAGUUCCAAAGCCACUUGGGAAAAGUGUAUUUUCCAGUGCUCUCAAUCGGCAAAUCAACGGAGAGGAAAGAAUUACUUUUUGAAGCAAAAGAAGUUGGAAAACCAAAAACAGAAUAAAAAGAACGGAAUUACAUGAUAAAAGCAAGGUAAAAUAGGUAAAAAAAAGGGACAAAAAUAUUGUUCAUGUUCUAUUUGCACUUAUUUAAUAGAGUUAUAUUUAUAUAGUUUAUAUACAAACAUAUAUAAUGAUUUCAAGUACUCAAUAUCAGUCUUUGGCAUGAUAAUUUAAUGGGUAAUGGGUCCCUUGCAUCCUUGGGUUU